rnacentral:rRNA from 1 species
UGGGGAAUUUUGGACAAUGGGCGAAAGCCUGAUCCAGCAAUGCCGCGUGUGUGAAGAAGGCCUUCGGGUUGUAAAGCACUUUUGUCCGGAAAGAAAUCCUUGGCUCUAAUACAGUCGGGGGAUGACGGUACCGGAAGAAUAAGCACCGGCUAACUACGUGCCAGCAGCCGCGGUAAUACGUAGGGUGCAAGCGUUAAUCGGAAUUACUGGGCGUAAAGCGUGCGCAGGCGGUUUGCUAAGACCGAUGUGAAAUCCCCGGGCUCAACCUGGGAACUGCAUUGGUGACUGGCAGGCUAGAGUAUGGCAGAGGGGGGUAGAAUUCCACGUGUAGCAGUGAAAUGCGUAGAGAUGUGGAGGAAUACCGAUGGCGAAGGCAGCCCCCUGGGCCAAUACUGACGCUCAUGCACGAAAGCGUGGGGAGCAAACAGGAUUAGAUACCCUGGUAGUCCACGCCCUAAACGAUGUCAACUAGUUGUUGGGGAUUCAUUUCCUUAGUAACGUAGCUAACGCGUGAAGUUGACCGCCUGGGGAGUACAGUCGCAAGAUUAAAACUUAAAUGAAUUGACGGGGUCAUAGCUGUUUCCU